GUAGUCGAUGGGAAACGGGUUAAUAUUCCCGUACUUCUUACAAUUGCGAUGGGGGGACGGAGAAGGCUAGGUGGGCCUGGCGACGGUUGUCCAGGUUCAAGUGCGUAGGCUGAAGAGUUAGGUAAAUCCGGCUCUUCUUAAGGCUGAGACACGACGUCGAGCAUCUACGGAUGUGAAGUCAUUGAUGCCAUGCUUCCAGGAAAAGCCUCUAAGCUUCAGAUUGUAAGGAAUCGUACCCCAAACCGACACAGGUGGUCGGGUAGAGAAUACCAAGGCGCUUGAG
rnacentral:rRNA from 1 species